AUUUAAUCUAAUCUUUUAGAUUAGCCAGUUCACUUUCGAUGUCAAUAUCAAGUUCCGUUUCAUUUCUUAUUGCUAAAGCUAUUAAAAUUGACCAACUUGUUAAAGAAGAUGGCAGGACCAGCAGACCUGAAGAUAGACAGCAAAUUUUAUGGUCCGAAACCGCUCGCCCUAGUUUCAAUAAAAUAGAUUAUGAGUAAGUC
rnacentral:lncRNA from 1 species